ACAGAACUAGGCAUCCAGGUGAGCUGCUGCAGCCUCCCACUGGGGCCCGGAAGUCCCUGGAUCAGGGGGCACCUGCCACUGCUGCUGAUCACAGAACAGUGUUGCCACAGACCUUGAGAGGAAAAUGCUCAUGGAAUCCUGUCUCUCUCUCUCUCUCUGAAGGUCUAUUCAGUGGUACCCACCAGGCUUCCUCUACAACUCUGCUGAUUUUGCCCUAUAUUUUUCUGGAAUUGCUGCCUCAGAAGGGUCAGGCCCCGCAGUGUGUGCUUGUGGGACGUGGAUGAAAUGGUAUCAGGUGUGGUGGGUACUGCUAGGAAUGGCCUACAAUGAGCAACUUCCAGUUCUCAAGGAGGGAUGCACUGCCAGCCUGAGGGGAUGAACUCUUCUAGAAGAAUCCCUCCUUCUAUUGGGAGGGAUUUACUCACCAGGGACCUGGAAAAGUCAAUCUUGGGUCUUCUGAAUGUCUCCCUCUGCUCCUUGGUAUUCAUACUUGAAGGUCACUUGCUCUCUGAUGCUUCACUGAUGACCUCUUCCAUCCCCACACCAAACAGAAUUAGCACUCCUUUCUAUGUAUUCUCAUAUUACUUGGUACACACACCCUCUGCUGUAGCAAAUAUCGAAUUACUUUUUUUUUAAGUAGGCUUCACACCAAUGUGGGGCUUGAAUUCAUGACCCUGAGAUCAAGAGUUGGAUGCUUAACGAUUGAGCCACCCAGCUGUUCCUCAAAUUACAUUUUGUUUAUGUACAUGUUAUGUUUUCAAGUUGAGUUGCUCAAAGGUAGAGGCUGCUUUUGUAAAACUACUACUGAAUGAGCAUUGUACAUAUGUUAUCUCAUUUGGUUCUUCCAAUAAGCCUAAUAAGAACUAGGGAAAGAACAGCUAAAUAUCAUGCUUCAUUGUCAGGUAAAUGCUUAGUAGAAACAGGGAUGAAAGUAGGCCAAGUUUUAUGUGUAUAUGUAGCACAGUGCUUGGCAUUAGGCAUGGUGUGUGGGGGGGGGUUGCCAAUAAAUGCUCAUCAAAUGAGUAAGUAAUUAAGUGAAUAAACUAUAUGCUACAAACUACAAGGAAGCCUUUUGAUUUCUAGCUAUAAACAUGUCCUUUCAGUUAUUCUCACAGCUCUAGGCUGCUGCAGACUUUAAUUCAAACCAGACCUAAAUAACUAGGAAGAGAAGGAUAUAUCACAAAACAAAAUUAUCAGAAACAAUGCAGCUAACCACCUUACUUAAGGUCAUCUACUGAGCUUGGCAUUCCUGAUAAUGUACUUCUCAUCAUAGUGAUUAUUUAAAGAUUCAAUUUAAAAUGUUAAUACUGCAGUGUCAGAAACAUACAAAUAUGAAGAGAAGAUGAAAUCAAAGAAAGCUUCAUUUCCCGUUAUAAAUUAAACUUUGUCAUGCACUGUGUUCAGAUGAGAAGUUUUCUUUUGCUAAAUAAGACCUACCUAAGGAAAUUUGAUAGAAAACUGACUUAACCUAUAUUUGUAGUCUUUACUGAUUACUAGUUUUUGGUACCAUUACCUUCCAGUGUCCCAAAGGAGCGCAUUGCUCUGAUUUUAAUGAAUAAAAUUAUUUUACUACUA